AUGAACGCUAGCUACAGGCUUAACACAUGCAAGUCGAGGGGCAUCAGGAAGAAAGCUUGCUUUCUUUGCUGGCGACCGGCGCACGGGUGAGUAACACGUAUCCAACCUGCCCUUUACUCGGGGAUAGCCUUUCGAAAGAAAGAUUAAUACCCGAUAGCAUAAUGAUUCCGCAUGGUUUCAUUAUUAAAGGAUUCCGGUAAAGGAUGGGGAUGCGUUCCAUUAGGUUGUUGGUGAGGUAACGGCUCACCAAGCCUUCGAUGGAUAGGGGUUCUGAGAGGAAGGUCCCCCACAUUGGAACUGAGACACGGUCCAAACUCCUACGGGAGGCAGCAGUGAGGAAUAUUGGUCAAUGGGCGCUAGCCUGAACCAGCCAAGUAGCGUGAAGGAUGAAGGCUCUAUGGGUCGUAAACUUCUUUUAUAUAAGAAUAAAGUGCAGUAUGUAUACUGUUUUGUAUGUAUUAUAUGAAUAAGGAUCGGCUAACUCCGUGCCAGCAGCCGCGGUAAUACGGAGGAUCCGAGCGUUAUCCGGAUUUAUUGGGUUUAAAGGGAGCGUAGGUGGACUGGUAAGUCAGUUGUGAAAGUUUGCGGCUCAACCGUAAAAUUGCAGUUGAUACUGUCAGUCUUGAGUACAGUAGAGGUGGGCGGAAUUCGUGGUGUAGCGGUGAAAUGCUUAGAUAUCACGAAGAACUCCGAUUGCGAAGGCAGCUCACUGGACUGCAACUGACACUGAUGCUCGAAAGUGUGGGUAUCAAACAGGAUUAGAUACCCUGGUAGUCCACACAGUAAACGAUGAAUACUCGCUGUUUGAGAUAUACAGUAAGCGGCCAAGCGAAAGCAUUAAGUAUUCCACCUGGGGAGUACGCCGGCAACGGUGAAACUCAAAGGAAUUGACGGGGGCCCGCACAAGCGGAGGAACAUGUGGUUUAAUUCGAUGAUACGCGAGGAACCUUACCCGGGCUUAAAUUGCAGUGGAAUGAUGUGGAAACAUGUCAGUGAGCAAUCACCGCUGUGAAGGUGCUGCAUGGUUGUCGUCAGCUCGUGCCGUGAGGUGUCGGCUUAAGUGCCAUAACGAGCGCAACCCUUAUCUUUAGUUACUAACAGGUCAUGCUGAGGACUCUAGAGAGACUGCCGUCGUAAGAUGUGAGGAAGGUGGGGAUGACGUCAAAUCAGCACGGCCCUUACGUCCGGGGCUACACACGUGUUACAAUGGGGGGUACAGAAGGCAGCUAGCGGGUGACCGUAUGCUAAUCCCAAAAGCCUCUCUCAGUUCGGAUCGAAGUCUGCAACCCGACUUCGUGAAGCUGGAUUCGCUAGUAAUCGCGCAUCAGCCACGGCGCGGUGAAUACGUUCCCGGGCCUUGUACACACCGCCCGUCAAGCCAUGGGAGCCGGGGGUACCUGAAGUACGUAACCGCAAGGAUCGUCCUAGGGUAAAACUGGUGACUGGGGCU
rnacentral:rRNA from 1 species